rnacentral:lncRNA from 1 species
CUCUUUGAGGUUGUUCCAUGAACCAGGUCUUGUGAGCUUCUGGCUGUGGGAGCAACGGUGCUGCCAGUGGGCUCAUAAGCAAUAAUGACGAACGCCGUUCCUUGCCACACUGGGGCUUGGUGCUGCUGAGAACUGUGGCCUCAGAGGAUCCCAUGACUGGAGUGCCGGCAAAGAAAAAUCACUCUUCAUACUUGCUAACGAUGGUAAGACGGGCUCUGUUUACGGGGGGUUGUUGUGGUAGGUCUUAGAGAGCACUGGCAAUGGAGUCUUGCAGAGUGUGUGUGUUGGUUGGGAGGGGGACAGAGUCUGAAAUUCACCUACCCCAGCAAAGACAAAUGAAUGGGGUUCAUAGCCAAGAAGCAGGGAGAGUAUCAGUGGAUGGAGAGUUUUUGCUAGAGAGAUGCAACAGACUUCUUGCUGAUGGCGGGCCAGAGUGAGGAGCCAUUGAGGAUCAGAUACCCAGUGGGAGGUUUGGGAAAGAUUUUCUCUAAACUGACUUAGCAGGAUUGCUCAGACUGGAUUCUACCAGACAAAGAGGGAAGCCCAAGGUCAAGCCCACUGAGCAGAGGAUUCGGAAGAGCCUGGGAAAAGCCUUGUUGAGAGGCAAGAGUCUUUGUCACUGCCCAUAUUCCAAACAGGUGGUGGUAGGGCCCAGAGCCUGAAGGGAGAGAACCAGCUCUGCACACUAAUGCCACUGGGAAUGCAUAAAUACUUAUUUAUGUAUAUUUUUAGGUGUUUUACACAUUACAUAUUCAUGCAGCAUAUAGUGACAAUAAAAAUAAGAAAAUUUUUUGGCACUUUACAAUUUACAAACUCUCAUGUGUAUUUAUUAAUUUAUCCCUAAUAUGAUGAGAGGAAGCUCCCCUAAGACCCAGCAGAGAACACAUGGAAGCACCUGUGUGUACUUUAAAUAAAGUGGGUAACACCAUUACCAUUAUCAUUAGACCCACUUUGCAGAUGAGGCAAUUGAGGCUUGGAGUUUUGGAGCUGCCUAAAGAACAAAAAAUAAAUGGAAGAGGCAGACUGUGCAGCUCAGGUGCCUCUACUAUCAUUAUGACUACAAGUAAGUCCUGUUUAUCGAACAUGUGCUUCAUGCCAGGCUCACAACAGUCCUGCCAAGAAGAAACAGAGACUUGGCAAGGUAACUUGCUCUGGCAGUGAUUAUCAGAGCUGGGCUUUGAACCUGGGGCCUCUGAUUCCAAGCCCCAUGCUCUGUAGACUGUCUGGCUCUUCCUCUCCUCAAAACAGAGUUUACUCCAAACUCGUGCAUGUGGGAGAUCUCCUUUAAUGCCAUGAAUGGGUGGGAUAAAUAUAUCCCUUACAGAUAAAACCAGGUCAAGUCCCACUUUUUCUUGUGAGAUCAGCAUCAUAAUUUGUCCUUGGACACACCUGAACCAUUUUUUUUUAACAGGAGAUCUGUGUUUGAAUUUUUAGGUGCAUUUCAGGGAAUCAAAUCUGCUGGCCUCAUGCUGCUCAUGGGCUUACUCUGCUCACUCCCAGUGCCUUGACUACACACUGUUUAUGCCUUCAAAUGCAGAUUUAAAAUACUCACAUAAUUCCAGAAAAACUCUUGCAAUCAGCUCCAGAGUCUGUUAAGGUGUCUGUGGGGCUUUGGGUCUUUGAAGUACAGACUUCGGAGGCGCCCCAUUCCCAUGCUACCAGGGGAUAAAUGUUGCUUUGCUUUCUGCUGCUUCUUUUUUUCCAGGAUUGUAUUUUAAUGAAAAGAAACGGCAGUUGGCAACAUCCCUGAAGCUUUUUAGUGGGGUUCCUAUAAUGAGGAUUGCUAAAAUUCUGGAUAGGAAAUAUUUCCCUCUGUAGGCUCAGGAUGCAGGAUUUUAAACUUUUGUGAUGUCUGUGGCCUUUUUCUCUCGAGCCAGCUGGGUUUGCCUCUUCAAAGAUGUCAGCCCCAGCCCUGCCAAGUUUGGAGUUUAUAGCUCCACUGUUAGGGACUUACGUGAGUAUAAAAAUAGGUCAAUGUUUUUUCUUCCUUCUCUCUUAACGAACAGAAAACGUGGUGUGUAUGUGUGUGUGUGUGUGUGCGCGUGCGCAUGUAUGCACGAGCUCGCUUGAGCGUUCCAACAUCCCAUCCGUCAAAAACAGUUGUAACAAUUUUAGCUCAUUUUUUCCCCCAAGAAGAUUCACUCCAAGUCUGACUCAGAUGGUGGAACACUUGAAGGAAAAAAAAAUUUUUUUUUUCUUCCAUAAAAGUUAAGUGUAAUUAAUGAGGAGGGAGUUGGUGGGAGAAAGAAUUCCUCAGGGUUCGCUGUAAUGUCAAUUAUGCUGCUCCCUGACAAACACACAUAAAACAUGUAACAGAUCCACUGCGUGUUCCCCUCCCCAUUGGAUUAUUAUGAGAAGUGAACACUUCUUUCCAUUACGAAUCUGGAUGGCUCAGUUUUCCCAGUUGAAAUUUUAAACAAGAUGAAAUUACACACACACACACACACACACAUCUUUGAAAUUACUGAUGAAGAAAAUUUCCUAAAAAACAAAUUAAACAAGGAGUUAGUUCAGUCAUGGAUAAAUUUACUAUGUGCCAAAAGGGUUAGCUGUUGAAAUGCUUUUUAACUGCAAAAGGGUUGUAGCCAGCUCCAUAAAGCCUAGGAGGUUUUAAUCUGUUUGUAUUUGGCCUCUGUUUCUUCCAAGUUCAAAAAUACGCUCAUGGCUAUGUUGACAGACAAGGUCAUAAGUGUAUGCAGAGCUUUGAGAGUCCUCUCUCACUUCUCCUCCUCCCCUCCCCCAUACUCAUUUGCUCCCACGGGUUCCCUCCUAGUUCCCUGGGGAUCUUGUUCAUCUUCACCCAUUUUCUCACCUGCCCCUAGAGAUCUCCGUUUUUACUUGGGUCCUUAGCCAUCUUCUGCCUCUUGGGUUUUUCCAUGAGCAUCUCAACCUUCUCCAGACUCCUCUGUCUCCCAACAGAACCUUCUCUCCACCCCAUCCCUCCUUCCUAAAUACCCUGUGUCUUUUCUGCCCUGCGUGGCCAAGUCGCUUGCUAGAGCAGUCUAAGCUUGCUAUCUCUACCGUGUCACCCACUGAUCUGCCAUUCUCCAAAAAACUGCCAUAUGUUCUGAGCUCAUCUGUGACUUCUGCCUACGACAGUCAAUGGGGCAUUCCUCAGGUGUUACCGUAGGGGAUUUCCACACUGCCCUUGACAAGGACCAUUCGCCCAUCUACCACCCGCCACACAGUAAUUUUGAUGAGUCUUAAUUUCAACACCUGGGCUUUGCAGGGUUGCUCGGUCCCCACCCUCCUCUGUUCUUUAGUUCACUUCUUCCUUUGUAUGGAGGACCCCCCAAACUGUCUCUCCAGCUGGGGCCUCUUUACUUGGCUCCAGAAGUCCACUGGCUUCUCAUGGAUGGGGGCCUCUGGUUCUAAGUGUCCACAGCCCUCCUUCACUCUGUGCUCAGGAUAUGGCUCCAGACUCAUGGAGGUUGUCCUCAACUCUCCCUCUCCUUUUGGCCAACUCCCUCUCUCUUUAGGGCAAAAAAAAAAAAAAAAAAGGCCUGAUGUCCUUAAAGUUUCUUCUAUGCCUUCAGAUUAGGAGGCCCCAUGCUCCCCACCAGUGGUCAGGGUUCCCUCCAGCUCUACGCCCCAUCCUGCCUGCUCCCCUCUGACCCUGACUGUAGCUCCUUCCCUUUGAACUAGUAACCACAUUAACUUAACGAGUGCUACUCUGAGUCAGAUGCUAAGCCGAGUGCCUCACAGGUGCCAUCUCACUAAACCCUCAUGACCCUGUGAGCUCAGAACUCAUAUUAUCCCACUCACAAGUGGGGAAACUGAGGCUCAAAGUUGCUUUUGCUGGUCCUUCCUGCAGGUGGCCUCUUAGCCUCCCUGGGCUGCUGUGGGACCUUCCCAGCUUUUGGCCCCCCUGGGUGCUUCACUCUGCAACCCCAGGGCAGAUGCUGCCCAUUCCUGUGCUCAGCCCUGGCUCCAGGACCCCUGGCUCCAGGACCCCUACCUGGGUCUGGAGUCCUGUGGUCCCAUUUGCUGGAGCCUCAUUUUCUCUGCCUUCAUCUCUUUCUGGCUGAAUUCCUGAGGGGGUGGGUGGAAUCUAUUAACUAAAAUCCUCUGCUCCUGGGUAGUAUCUUGGCAGCCUAUCUCCCUCCGCUGCAGCAGGAUUAUUUCUUCAAAAUACUAAUCGGGUCGUGUCCCUUCAGCUUAAAACCCUUCAGUGAUAUCUCCUCGUUCUAAGGACAAAGUCUAAGACUUAGCUUGGAAAUGAUUAUGGCGGUUACUCUAAUCUCUGCUGGCCCCACCCCUGGGACAGCCCCACCAUGGGCACCAUCUGUGGUCCAGCCCUGUGGCCAUCCCACCUUCCUGGCUUCUCUCUCCUUCCUUUACAGAUGUUUGGAUGUGACAGACAAGGGCUGGGCUGGCCACUGAGGGUAGAGAUGAAAUAGACAAACUAGCAAAAGGAAAGUUCCCUGCAGAUGUGUGGGCAGGGGUGACCCUCCAGGACAACGGGGAUUAAGCUUGACAAGCAGUACAGUGAAGUUACAUCCCGCCCCUGCUGCUCUGGACUCUGGCUCCAAUGCCUCCCUUGUCUGCCAGCCUAGCUUCUCUGCCAUUGCAACCCGGGGGGUGUUCAGGUGAGCAUUUCCUCUCUGGAGCACCUCCCAGGCUCCCCUGCUGAAGGGUGCACACCUCUCAGGAACAGCCUUGGAAACCAAGGGGCAGAUUCAGAAUUUUAUCCUAAGAGCAUUUGGGUCCCAUUUAAAGAUUUUUUAAGUUGGAGGAUGACAUGAGUGGAUUUGUUUUUGAAUAUGUCCUCUGACUGCUCUGUAGAGGAGGAAUUAGAAGACAACAGUAGUCCUUCACACAUCCAAGCAAAAACCUGGAGCACACUGGAGUUCCAAGGCAGCUUACAAAACACCCAGGCCUGGGGCACACCCUAGAACCUGGUGGGGAGAGGGCAUGUUGGGUAAUUCCUCUAAGACUGGCAUUGACUGACCCUGCAUCAUUCCACCUCUGCACCUCUCUUGUAGGGACACUAACACCAUGACCCAGCUUUCUGGGAGGGGCUCUGUAUAUGCUACUAAGACACAGACUCCCCUCUUGGGGGGUGUGUGAUUCUUAGAGUGAGGGCUGGACUGUCUGAGGUCAACUUGCAUUACCCAUCCCCACUCUCAGUCUCCUCUGCAGAAAGAAGCAAAACCAGGAGCAAAUCCCAGAUCCCUUCCCUGUCUGGCUCCCUGGUUAAGUCUGCACAUGAGAAGCACUCCAGGAAAGGCCAGUAUUCUCCAGAGACAGAUGCUGCCAGAUGUGGGAUUGGAUAUUCCGGAGGACUCCCUGGAGCACUUCAGAGACAUCCCUUUGCUGCUUCCUGGCAAGUUCGCAGUGUGCAGUCCGCCUCCUGCUGGAGAGCUGCUGCCAGGGCCUUUGGGGUGGUGGUUUCCCUGCCCUUCAUUUCCCCAGGUCUUACAGCAGGUCAGCUGUAGACCAUUCUCCAAAUGGAAACUUUGAGCGCCUGUUUAGAUAUACAGAGUGUCUUAAAGCCCGCUCGGAGAGCAGGGGCCCUCUGGUAUUUUUCUAGCACAGAGCCACAGUGCUUUAGCAGUGAGAAAGGAACCAGGCCCAUCCCAGCAAGGAGAACAACCUCUCUUCUCUCUGGGUGAGUCACAGGGAGAAGGAAGAAAGAGGAACUUCAGCAGGGGGGUGGAGGGGGUGGGUCAGAAUGGGAAAGAAUCAAAUGAAUCAAAGAAUCAUAAAAACCUCAGAUUUGAAUCACUUACUAUCUAGGCAAAUUGCUUAACUUUUCUGAGUCUGAGUCUGAGUCUCCUUGUCUGUGAAAUGGGGAUGCGACCACUCUUUGCACUGAGUAAAUGAGAUGAUGUGUGCAGUUUCCCUAGCAUGAAGGCUGGCAGAUUGAAGGAGCCCAGUAAACGUUAGCCCUUUUCCUUCUUGGCAGAGGCAGCCGGCAUGCUUAACAAAGACGCUACCACCAGCCAUCAGAGAGGGUGAGGACACUCCUCUACUUCCAGGCUAAGACAAUGGCUUCUCAUUCUUCCCUCCUGUUCAGAAGGAAAAUGGGUGAGGGAGGAAAGCACUGAGGGUUCCCUUCAGUGGGACACAUUCUCAUGCUACACUAUCUCCUUGUGACCAUGGAUUUAUCUCCCCAAACCAGUUCAAGGACAACAGAUUUAAAAAUAAAGGCUAAAAUUAGAAAGUCUCUAGAAGAAAACACAGAGAUAUACUGAUGAUCUUGGGGAUAGGGGAAUAUUUCUAGGCAGGACACAAGAAAACUCACCAUGAAAUAAACAAAUGAAUUGGAUUUCAUCAAAAUUAAAAGAUUUUGCUCAUUCGAGGUAUUGUUAAUAAAAUGGAAGUCAAACUACAGACUGUGAGAAAAUGACACUAGGACAUAGAUCCAGUGAAGAUCUGUAUCCAAAUAUUUAAAACAUGCCUACCUGCAAAUCAAUAAUAAAAAGAAUCUAAUUAAAGUGGGCACACUGCUUGAAAACACACUCCAUAAAAGAAGGUAUAGAAGUGGCAACUAAGCAUGUCAAAGGUACUCAAUAUAUUAAUCACUGGGGAAAUGCAAAUGAAAACCACCAUGAGCCACAACUUCAGUCCCAGGAGGGUGGCUAAAAUGUUAAAGACUGACCACAUCAAAUGCUGGGGAGGAUGUGGGAGCAACCGGAACCUCAGACAUAGCUGGUAGAAGUAUAAAAUGUUACAAUCAUCUUAGAAAACUCUUUAAUUUUUCAUUUUUUAGUUGUAGAAGGACACAAUGCCUUUAUUUAUAUACUGUUUCUUUUGAAAGGAAAAAUAUAUGCCUACCCUCUGACUCAACAAUUUCACUCCUAGAUACUGGUCUGUACAAUUAUUUGUAAAAGAAUGUAUAAAGUAGCUGGGUGCAGUGGUGCACAUCUGUAAUCCCAGCAGCUCCAGAGUUCAAAGCCAGCCUCAGUGAAAGUGAAGCGCAAAGUAACUCAGUGAGACCCUGUCUCUAAAUAAAACACAAAAUAGGGCGGGGGACAUGGCUCAGUGGAUGAGUGCCCCUGAGUUAAAUCCCCAGUUAACACCCCCUCCUCCAGAAAGAAUGUACAUAGUAGCUUUAUUUCUAACAGCUAAACCCUGAAAACAGCCCAAUAGGACACUGUAUAAAUCAUGAUAUAUCCAUAAAAUUCAAUAAAAAGGAACAAAAUACUGAUAUUUGACAACAACCUGGAAGCACCUCAAAAAAUUCCAGUAAGUAAAAGAAAACAGAUGCCUUUCCUAAAAAAAAAAAAAAAAAAAAAAAAGAUGCAAAAAAAAAAUUGGCUGAAUGGUUCCAUUUAUGUGAAAUUCUAGAACAGGAAAAAUUCAUCUAUGUUGAUAGAAAUCACAACAGUGGUCUUCUGAGUCAAGGUAGGGGCAGUUGUCAGGAAAGGGAAAGAGGGAACUUUCUGGAGUGAUGAAAAUAUUCUUUCUUAAUCAAGGUAGUGAUUACAUGGACAUAGACAUUGAAGGGUAUUGGGUAUAUUUAUAAUUUGUUCAUUUAACUGCUUUUUUUUAACCAGCUUAGUUAUUUAUUUCUCAGAUGUCUGGAGGUAUUGCUUAGACUCCCAAAGAGGUGAGUUUUAUCCCAGAGACAAAGAAGGGAAUGCGCAGACCAGGAGAACUGGAUGCAAACUUGUGGAGUUGAGAGAAACCUAGAUGGUCCACUUUGACUAGCACCUCUCUGCACCACCCAUGUGUCACUGUGCAUUGAUCUUACACUAGAAACUAUGUUAAUUGUUUCUACAUAUCUUUUAACCCUGGGGAAAACAGAAUCCAUAAUCCUAAAAUGAAGCUCCAAGAAGUUAUACAACACACAGCUAGAACAGCAAUUUGGCUCUUCUAGUCCAGAGCAUUAUCUAGGGCUGUCUCUGGGGAGGAUGGCAGCCGGGGAACCCAAGGCUCAUUUUAGGGCUGCAGCCUGAGCAAGGAGAGAGGCCAUGCCUUCACCAGCCAGUGACUCCCCAUUCUUGUUCCUGUCUUGGGUACCUAGGCUUGAGUGUCUUCCUUAGAAGCACCAGAGGGGAGUCCUAAUUUCUUCUCCAAUAAGCACUUGUUUUCACAGGGACCAGUGCACCACUGGUGACAUUUUUUUUUUUUUUUUUGCAAAUCCCUCCAGGCUUGGCAUGACCUGCAGACUUGGAAGAUGCUGGCCCUAUAACACAGCUGCAGCUGGAGAAAGCCCUGGGAUCCAAUUAACAGCCCAGGCCACUGGAAAAACCAUGGAGGUGGCCUCAAGUGUUAGGCCCUGCGGGCUACUUGCACAGCGAACCCCGUCAGUGCAGCAGAAAAAGGUCCCAGCCUCAGGUCCUCCCAACACCUGCUUCCUGAAGGGCAGCCGGGCUCCCAAAGAGACAUGAUGUCAUCAACUUUUUAUCACGUCUCUGAGAGGCGACCUUCCUGGGGAGGAGACAGGGAAACAGGCCUGAGGAGGUGAACGGCCUGCGCUGGGAAAAGAAACAUGAUUUCCAGCCACUUGGAUCAGGUCCCCAAGUUUCAGGAAUAAAGCCACCUUGUCAGACUUGCCUGGACUCUGGUGCCUGAGAGGAAUCUAGGAGCCUUAGCAAGUUCUUUCCAUGGAAUUUUCUGUAAAAUAAAAACGUUUCAUUUCUUAAAAGUUCGAUCUAAAUGGAAGCUAUUGAGAAAUAAAACAUUUAAUUGCAAAGUCAAACAGAUUAAAAAUCCCUUUAAUCUUAAGAAAAAUAAAACCAAGCAAAACAUAUAUCUUG